rnacentral:rRNA from 1 species
CAGCCGCCGCGGUAAUACGAAGGGUGCAAGCGUUAAUCGGAAUUACUGGGCGUAAAGCGCACGCAGGCGGUUUGUUAAGUCAGAUGUGAAAUCCCCGAGCUUAACUUGGGAACUGCAUUUGAAACUGGCAAGCUAGGGUCUUGUAGAGGGGGGUAGAAUUCCAGGUGUAGCGGUGAAAUGCGUAGAGAUCUGGAGGAAUACCGGUGGCGAAGGCGGCCCCCUGGACAAAGACUGACGCUCAGGUGCGAAAGCGUGGGGAGCAAACAGGAUUAGAUACCCGCGUAGUCCCUGUCUCUUAUAA